CUUAAAAUAUUUUACCCAAAUACUAGUAUAUAAAGAAACAAUUAGGUACAUAUUCUAGUAACUCUGAAGUGUUGAUUUAUCAUUGUUAUUAUAAAUAGAAAUGUGCAGUAAAAUUCACUAGAUCUGAAUUCAUUCUCACAAGGUCUCAGCACUCUUCCCUCCUGGCUCCUGUGGUUAUGAGAUCCUGACAACAUAACAAACAUACUCUUCCAGAAAACCUACCCUUUGCUAGUGCACAAUGCUUCUAUUGAAACAGUGCCCCAGCCACUGGUCUCUAAUGCCAGUCCUCUGGGUGUUACGUCAUGCUGCUGUCUUACCACCUAAACCCAAGUCACACUAACUGAUGUUGUAGGUGCUGCUCUUCGAGGUGACUGAGGCAUGGACAGAAUAGCUUCUAAGUCUGAUCAUCCUUGGAAUGCACAGGCUGGGCUUCUGAAUCAGAUCUACCAGUGGGCGCCGGGUAUUCAGUAUCUUGGCUACACUCUCAUUAAAUACACUCUGAAACAAAGUGGGCCCAUACCCAGGUAAUUCAGUGGCAGACUUCUGCUGGGGGAUAAGUGCGCUGUGACAUGAAUAUCUGAGAGUGAGAAUUCUGGUGAUGAUGGCUUAAAUCGCAACCAAAGUAAAGUUAAUGCUAAUAGUAAGGAAUAGGUUUUUGAACUCAUUACCCACUGAAUGAACAGCCCUGUGUUAGGAGCUGAUGAGGGAUACAGAAACAGAAGACCCAGGCUGAGGAUUCAAGGAGAGUUUAAAAGUGUAUUGGAGAGAAAAAGACUCAUACAGGAAAACACAGCAAGUUAUGUUUGGGCAGCACAGUUUGAGAAGUGCUUGAAUCAUGGAGUAAAGCAUAGAGUUUGAUAGGAAGGAGCAAAUUCAAAGAGAAGAAAUAGGCUCUCUCAGCUUAAGAAGCUUUCUAAGAGGAAGUACUAAAACCUGAACUGGAGAGGUAGCAAGAUGUCAUACUCCACAAAUACUAGUGGGUAGAGAUUGGAGCUCAUGGGGUGGCAGGGACCCGACAUGAGGCUUCCUUAGUGGCUGGAGCAGUUAUUCGUGAGUGUGGAACAGCCCAGUGAGGAAGGGAAAACCGGAGAAACAAGGCAGAGAAGACGGACAACAAUUUAGGGAAGACUGGACACCAGGCAAUACCAGAAACUGAGAGUAACGGGGUAGGAUAAGUGUGUGUGCUCCCGCACACACACACACACACACACCACACUCACAUAUAAGAGAAGAAAGAGCUGGAAGAGUCUAUGAAACCUGGUUUAAAACAGAUUGCUCAGAGCCACUGAACUGAGAUUUGGGCGACAAGGAAGGAGAGGCUGGGAUUCACACUCCAGAAUGAAGCAAGGCUCCAGGGAGAGAGCUGUCGAACAAUGGCGGGGAAUUUUCUCCCUGUCUCCGUUUCUAAGCAGCCCUAUUCCUACCUGGGGGCAGGAGCCCUUGUUGGGAGGGAGGGAGGAGCUGCCAGUCAUCACCUGUCACAAGUCACAGGACCAUGUGGGCGGCAGGAGGCGGGCCUCCCGUGCCCAGGCCCUGUCUCACUGGCUGGGAAGUGCCCAAGGCCAGGAUAAAAGGGCGCUGGAGCAGGACCCCUCCAUCCACCGCCCUCCUGAGGAGCUAGCUGACAGACCCGCUGCUGCUCGUGUGCCUGCUCUGGAACACUGACCGCCAAGAUGUCCUGCCAGCAGAGCCAGCAACAGUGCCAGCCCCCUCCCAAGUGCCCUGCCCCUAAAUGCCCCCCAAAGUGUCCCCCAAAGUGCCCUCCAGCCUCUUCCUGCUGUAGUGUCAGCUCAGGAGGCUGUUCUGGCCUCAGCUCAGGGGGCUGCUGUGGCCCCAGCCUAGGGAGCUGCUGUGGCCCCAGCUCCGGGGGUGGUGGCUGCUUCCUGGGCCACUACAGGCACCACAGAGCCCACUGCCACCGCAGGCAACACAAACCUGCUGACUGCUGCAGCCAGCCCUCGGGGGGCUCCAGCUGCUGUGGAGGGGGCGUGGGUCAGUCCUCCGGAGGCUGCUGCUGAAGCGGACCUGACCUCCUCUUCCUCUGAGCCCCCUGAAUGCAGACAGGUCUGGGCAAAGGCUUGAGCUGCAGCCGGAACAUCUCCCUACCUUGGUGUCCAAAAGCCCAAAUGAUCUCCCUAAAUGCCAGUUAUUGACAUUCGCCUUAUCUGUGCCUUCUCUGGGAACUCCAAAGCAGACCUUAUGUCCUUAGACAACUUCUGAUACUGCCGACUGCUGCCUCAAUUGAAACAAUAAAUAUGGAAUCUGCUCACUUA